GGCCGUUGCCUCGCGAGGCGCUGUCACCAGCGGCGCGGGCGGCCCAGGCGCGGCCCGCCGGCCCCUCAGCCCGCCCGGAGGCUGCCUCCCGACGCCCGGAGCAGCCACGGAAGACUUGUGUUUCAAUCUGGGUGCAUUUGCAUGCAGGCGGAAUUGGAUGUGCUUAGCUGGUGAGUUCUGCCAGUUGGGUAACGGAGCCAAAAGGCUGCGUGGGAGUUCAGCAAGGAGGAAGUUCAGCAAACUUUCCUUUGCAUGGCAAAGCCUCCUUGACUGAGAAUCAGCAAGAGAAGAGCAGAAGAUGUGUUUGGGAUCCGGCAGCAUUUGAUACCCAUCGAGGCUUUGGAGUGUUUCUGGUGCGGAAAACUGCAAAUGAGGUGAACAGAGGAAUUGUAACAGAUCUUCCUGAAUACUGAGUGGGGAGCACAGAGAUGGAGGCCGGCAUGGAGGAGAUCCUGGUUAAAGUUGCAGUAAGGGUCAGACCUCUGCUUUCCAAGGAAGUACUUCAUAACCACCAAGUAUGCGUGAGAUUAGUCCCAAAUACACAACAAAUAAUCAUUGGGAAAGACCAUGUCUUCACUUUUGAUGUUGUAUUUGGCAAAAACUCAACCCAAGAAGAAGUUUAUACAGUUUGCAUGAAACCUCUUCUAGUGUCUUUGGCUGAGGGGUAUAAUGCUACAGUAUUUGCAUACGGACAGACAGGUUCUGGGAAGACUUACACCAUUGGAGGUGGUCACAUUGGUACGUUGUAAAAAGUCAUUUUUUGUGUGUGUGUGAACAAUGUAGUUCUGCAAAUUAAGUCUUUAAUACAUAACAGAUGAUGCUUGAGAAUUUUUAAGAGAUAAUGAAAAAAUGUAUAGCAAAAAAAGACAUAUAUAUUCCAAAGUUUAUGUGAUGGUUGUGUUCUAAACACAAAUUCUGUGUCCAUUAGGCUAUGCCAAAAGUAUGAGAGAAAAAAAAA